rnacentral:tRNA from 1 species
GGGUUGUGGCUCAAUGGUAGAGCGCUCACCUCGCAUGUUUGAGACCCUGGGUUCGAUCCUCAGCCCCA